rnacentral:rRNA from 1 species
CGCCUGGGGAGUGCGGCCGCAAGGUUAAAACUCAAAUGAAUUGACGGGGGCCCGCACAAGCGGUGGAGCAUGUGGUUUAAUUCGACGCAACGCGAAGAACCUUACCUGGCCUUGACAUGCAGAGAACUUUCCAGAGAUGGAUUGGUGCCUUCGGGAACACUGACACAGGUGCUGCAUGGCCGUCGUCAGCUCGUGUCGUGAGAUGUUGGGUUAAGUCCCGUAACGAGCGCAACCCCUAUCCCUAGUUGCUAGCAGUUCGGCUGAGAACUCUAGGGAGACUGCCGGUGACAAACCGGAGGAAGGUGGGGAUGACGUCAGGUCAUCAUGGCCCUUACGGCCAGGGCUACACACGUGCUACAAUGGUGCGCACAGAGGGCUGCAAACCCGCGAGGGGGAGCCAAUCUCACAAAACGCAUCGUAGUCCGGGUCGCAGUCUGCAACUCGACUGCGUGAAGUCGGAAUCGCUAGUAAUCGUGAAUCAGAAUGUCACGGUGAAUACGUUCCCGGGCCUUGUACACACCGCCCGUCACACCAUGGGAGCGGAUUGCACCAGAAGUGGUUAGUCUAACCUUCGGGAGGACGAUCACCACGGUGUGGUUCAUGACUGGGGUGAAGUCGUAACAAGGUAACCGUA